rnacentral:rRNA from 1 species
UACAGAGGGUGCGAGCGUUGUUCGGAAUUACUGGGCGUAAAGAGCGCGCAGGCGGUCGUUCAAGUCGAGUGUGAAAGCCCCCGGCUCAACUGGGGAGGGUCAUUCGAUACUGAUCGACUCGAAGGCAGGAGAGGGUAGUGGAAUUCCCGGUGUAGUGGUGAAAUGCGUAGAUAUCGGGAGGAACACCAGUGGCGAAGGCGACUACCUGGCCUGUUCUUGACGCUGAGGCGCGAAAGCUAGGGGAGCAAACGGGG